GAUGAACGCUGGCGGCGUGCCUAAUACAUGCCAGUCGAGCGAACAGACGAGGAGCUUGCUCCUCUGACGUUAGCGGCGGACGGGUGAGUAACACGUGGAUAACCUACCUAUAAGACUGGGAUAACUUCGGGAAACCGGAGCUAAUACCGGAUAAUAUAUUGAACCGCAUGGUUCAAUAGUGAAAGACGGUUUUGCUGUCACUUAUAGAUGGAUCCGCGCCGCAUUAGCUAGUUGGUAAGGUAACGGCUUACCAAGGCUACGAUGCGUAGCCGACCUGAGAGGGUGAUCGGCCACACUGGAACUGAGACACGGUCCAGACUCCUACGGGAGGCAGCAGUAGGGAAUCUUCCGCAAUGGGCGAAAGCCUGACGGAGCAACGCCGCGUGAGUGAUGAAGGUCUUCGGAUCGUAAAACUCUGUUAUUAGGGAAGAACAAAUGUGUAAGUAACUAUGCACGUCUUGACGGUACCUAAUCAGAAAGCAACGGCUAACUACGUG
rnacentral:rRNA from 1 species